rnacentral:rRNA from 1 species
CCUACGGGAGGCAGCAGUGGGGGAUAUUGGACAAUGGGGGAAACCCUGAUCCAGCGACGCCGCGUGAGGGAAGAAGUAUUUCGGUAUGUAAAGCCCUGUCAGAAGGGAAGAAAGAAAUGCCGGUACUGGACUAAGAAGCCCCGCCUAACUACGUGCCAGCAGCCGCGGUAAUACGUAGGGGGCAAGCGUUAGCCGGAAUUACUGGGUGUAAGGGGAGCGUAGAGGGGGAGGCAAGUCUGGAGGGAAAGGCGGGGGCCCAACCCCCGGACUGCUCUGGAAACUGUGUAACUUGAGUGCAGGAGAGGUAAGCGGAAUUCCUGGUGUAGCGGUGAAAUGCGUAGAUAUUAGGAGGAACACCAGUGGCGAAGGCGGCUUACUGGACUGUAACUGACGUUGAGGCUCGAAAGCGUGGGGAGCAAACAGGAUUAGAUACCCUGGUAGUC